rnacentral:rRNA from 1 species
CCCUUAGAUGUUCUGGGCCGCACGCGCGCUACACUGAUGCAUUCAACGAGUUUCUUCCUGGUCCGAGAGGAAUGGGUAACCUUUUGAAAGUGCAUCGUGAUAGGGAUAGACUAUUGCAAUUAUUGGUCUUCAACGAGGAAUUCCUAGUAGACGUAGUUCAUCAGACUGCAUCGAUUACGUCCCUGCCCUUUGUACACACCGCCCGUCGCUCCUACUGAUUGAAUGCUCAGGUGAGCCAUUCGGACUUUCAUCAUGCUGGUUUCCAGUUUUGAUGAAGGAAAGUCUUGCGAACCUUAUCAUUUAGAGGAAGGAGAAGUCGUAACA